rnacentral:tRNA from 4 species
UGGAGCAGUCUGGUAGCUCGUCGGGCUCAUAACCCGAAGGUCGUCGGUUCAAAUCCGGC